rnacentral:rRNA from 1 species
CGGGACGGGGUGGAGUAAUGUCUGGGAAACUGCCUGAUGGAGGGGGGUAACUACUGGAAACGGUAGCUAAUACCGCAUAACGUCGCAAGACCAAAGAGGGGGACCGUUAGGGCCUCUUGCCAUCGGAUGUGCCCAGAUGGGAUUAGCUAGUAGGUGGGGUAACGGCUCACCUAGGCGACGAUCCCUAGCUGGUCUGAGAGGAUGACCAGCCACACUGGAACUGAGACACGGUCCAG